CAAUCCCCCCUUAGUUCUGGGUGGCUGUUGAUGGAGAUAAUUACUGCCCUGAUCUUGACUUCUCCUACCUACUCCCAACAUUCUUGUGUGUUCUGGUAAAGGUCACACUCUUAACUUCUGGUCCCAGGGAUCUCUUCUUAUCAGAUCACAUGACCUGCUCAGUUCCAUAUUCUGUCAGACAGCAUUGCCAUAAAGGCAAUUCACCUAUAGCAGAGAUAGAAUUCACACAUCAGUGAACAUUUAGCAGCACGUCUCCAAAGGGUAUGCACUUCCCUGUUAAGCUGUGACACACGGUUGAAAAAUACCAGACUAAAUGUUGGACCAAAUCCUUUCUAGAUCUUGCAUCUAUUUUUACAAUCACUACAGCGGAGAGAGAGAACAACAAAGCAAGUUAACGAAGAGCAGCCCGAAAAUCCAGAGGUCUCCUACUCAAAGUUUAAUCUUGUGGAAACCCUGUUCCUGUUUAAGAAGCACGUGUUUCAGUGACCAUUUGGGUUUCAGCUCCUACAUUUCCCUGUCUGAGAAGAAGACCAUUAGACAUUACCCAUUCCUGAUAUGCCCAAGUUACCCUUUCCAUAAAAAAGGACACAGAAAGGAAGAAACAUGCGUGGCUGGAAAAUAUCUAACUGCCAAGUUGCUCCUACAAUUGGAGAUGAGCCUUCUGGCUAAUUUUGAGCUGGUCAUUCUACCUGAUUCUUCUUUGGAAACAAGAAGACAAAUCGACCCAGUUGCUCACAUUGCAUCUGGAUCAUUCUGACCAAAAGUUCCAAAGGCACAGACCUCUAUUGGAUAUGGAUUGUUGGCCUGCGCAGCUUUACCCAGUGUGAGGGCUGAACUGUGCCCCCUUGAGAGAGCUGAAUGCUGGUGGUUUGGGCUGGGCAAGGGCUCUACUUCCACACUGGUGUGGAGAAGUCUUGUCUUGUGCUAUAAUCUGUAGAGAUACCCAGCUUUAUAGAAAGAAGAGAAAGAAAAAAAGAGGCAUAAGGGUUAAGUGAAAAGACAAAAGAAAGAGCAUGUGUAUAUGUGUGUAUGUUUCCAAAAAUCAGAGUGAGAGAUUGGGAAAAGAGAGUAAAGGGUUAGAUUUAUCUAAGAAAUUCUGCUGUGCAAAUCCUAGUAUAGCCUAGCAAUUUGGGGUUCUCACAAUAUAAUCAGAUCUCCAUUGGCUCCAAGACCAGAGAACUAACUAGCAGUGAAGUAUCCAUCUUUCUUAACAUUAUCAUUAAUAGUGGCCAAGUGUCAGUGUCCUUAUCUGUAAAGUAGGAGUUGUAUCUUCCUUGUAGGGAUGUUAGGUGGAUUAAACUGUCUAAUGCAUGUUAAUUGUGAAGUACUCUAUAAGCAGUCUAUAAG
rnacentral:lncRNA from 1 species